UGCAACGCGAAAACCUUACCUACCCUUGACAUGUCCGGAAUCCUGCAGAGAGUGCGGGAGUGCCGAAAGGGAAUCGGAACACAGGUGCUGCAUGGCUGUCGUCAGCUCGUGUCGUGAGAUGUUGGGUUAAGUCCCGCAACGAGCGCAACCCUUAUCAUUAGUUGCUACGCAAGGGCACUCUAAUGAGACUGCCGGUGGCAAACCGGAGGAAGGUGGGGAUGACGUCAAGUCCUCAUGGCCCUUAUGGGUAGGGCUUCACACGUCAUACAAUGGUCGGUACAGAGGGUUGCCAAGCCGCGAGGUGGAGCCAAUCCCAGAAAGCCGAUCGUAGUCCGGAUUGUUCUCUGCAACUCGAGAGCAUGAAGUCGGAAUCGCUAGUAAUCGCGGAUCAGCAUGUCGCGGUGAAUACGUUCCCGGGUCUU
rnacentral:rRNA from 1 species